rnacentral:rRNA from 1 species
UACGAAGGGGGCUAGCGUUGCUCGGAAUCACUGGGCGUAAAGCGCACGUAGGCGGCUUCUUAAGUCAGGGGUGAAAUCCUGGAGCUCAACUCCAGAACUGCCUUUGAUACUGAGGAGCUUGAGUCCGGGAGAGGUGAGUGGAACUGCGAGUGUAGAGGUGAAAUUCGUAGAUAUUCGGAAGAACACCAGUGGCGAAGGCGGCUCACUGGACCGGUAUUGACGCUGAGGUGCGAAAGCGUGGGGAGCAAACAGG